GGGAGCAAUCCUGGUGGCGAGUGGCGAACGGGUGAGUAAUGUAUCGGAACGUACCAUUCAGUGGGGGAUAACGUAGCGAAAGUUACGCUAAUACCGCAUAUUCUGUGCGCAGGAAAGCAGGGGAUCGCAAGACCUUGCGCUGAUUGAGCGGCCGAUAUCAGAUUAGCUAGUUGGUGAGGUAAAGGCUCACCAAGGCGACGAUCUGUAGCGGGUCUGAGAGGAUGAUCCGCCACACUGGAACUGAGACACGGUCCAGACUCCUACGGGAGGCAGCAGUGGGGGAUUUUGGACAAUGGGGGCAACCCUGAUCCAGCCAUGCCGCGUGAGUGAAGAAGGCCUUCGGGUUGUAAAGCUCUUUCGGCCGGGAAGAAAUCGUAUGGGUUAAUACCCUGUGCGGAUGACGGUACCGGCAUAAGAAGCACCGGCUAACUACGUGCCAGCAGCCGCGGUAAUACGUAGGGUGCGAGCGUUAAUCGGAAUUACUGGGCGUAAAGCGUGCGCAGGCGGUUUUGUAAGACAGGCGUGAAAUCCCCGGGCUCAACCUGGGAACUGCGCUUGUGACUGCAAGGCUAGAGUAUGGCAGAGGGGGGU
rnacentral:rRNA from 1 species